rnacentral:tRNA from 1 species
AGGGAUGUAGCUCAGGGUUAAGGUUCCUGCCUAGCAUACAUGAGACCCUGGGUUCAAUUCCCAGCAUUGCAA